AGACCAAAUCUUUUUUCUAAAAAAAAAAGAGAUAGCAGCGGCGUACAUCGAGCAAAAAGGAAAAUGAGAGCUCUUCUCUAAUCAGACCCCUAUAGAAAAACGGCACCCUCUAGCUCCAUUAUUCUUCUUUUUGAUUUCCCAAAAAUCACACACAAAAAAGAACCCAGCAGCUCUUUAAUUAUGAGAACCCAGUAGCUCUCAAAUUUCUUCAUUUUCUACUGUCUGUUGAAAAGAGUGUAUGAUUAUAAGGAUAGCAACCAUUUUUAGCUUCAUCCUAAAAGAAAGAGAAACAGCCACCCAUCUCUAACCUCACUCAAAAAUCAAAAAAAAAAAAGAAAAAAAGAGAAGAAGAAGUCGAUAAAAAAAUAUAUAUAUAUAAUCAGAAGCACGCUUGAAGAUUUUGAAAAGGUAGAUUCGAAACUAAAAAAAAGAUUUAGCUGGGUUGGAAACACACUGUUUGUGCUACUGCUUCGGAACCCCAUCAAUGGUAUUGUGGCUUGUGCUUGGUCCAUGCCCGUUGAUUCUCUGCGAUUAGGUACACAUUUUGAAAUCACUGAUGUAGCUUUCAAUUGGAUUGAAAUGAAGUAAUGUUCCAGAUUCGUGUUCAUUCGAGUAGUUGAAAUCAGUCCAAAUGACAUUUAGUUGCAUAGCUUUAAUCUGUUUGAGUUGCAAUGGUUGUUAGUUGUUUAAUUAGGAUUGUCUGUUUAAGGAUUGAUUUGGAGUGUUUAAUUUGUGCUGGACUGUAUAAUUGAGACUGUCUUAGGCGAUUGGAACUGUUUUGGCUAUCAUUUUUGUAAUAGACUGAUAAUUAGCCCAGA